rnacentral:rRNA from 1 species
UACGGGGGGGGCAAGCGUUGUUCGGAAUUACUGGGCGUAAAGGGCUCGUAGGCGGCCAACUAAGUCGGAUGUGAAAUCCCCAGGCUUAACCUGGGAACUGCAUCCGAUACUGGAUGGCUUGAAUCCGGGAGAGGGAUGCAGAAUUCCAGGUGUAGCGGUGAAAUGCGUAGAUAUCUGGAGGAAUACCGGUGGCGACGGCGGCAUCCUGGACCGGCAUUGACGCUGAGUGAGCGAAAGCCAGGGGAGCAAACGGG